rfam:Picea glauca, whole genome shotgun sequence.
GUCAACAUGUCCGAGUGGUGAAGGACAGACUCAAAAUCUGUUGGGCUUUGCCUGUGUAGGUUCGAAUCCUGUUGUUGACG